CGGACGGGUGAGUAAUGUCUGGGAAACUGCCUGAUGGAGGGGGAUAACUACUGGAAACGGUAGCUAAUACCGCAUAACGUCGCAAGACCAAAGAAGGGGGGACCGUUCGGGCCUCUUGCCAUCGGAUGUGCCCAGAUGGGAUUAGCUAGUAGGUGGGGUAACGGCUCACCUAGGCGACGAUCCCUAGCUGGUCUGAGAGGAUGACCAGCCACACUGGAACUGAGACACGGUCCAG
rnacentral:rRNA from 1 species